AGAGUUUGAUCCUGGCUCAGGACGAACGCUGGCGGCGUGCUUAACACAUGCAAGUCGAGCGGAAAGGCCCUUCGGGGUACUCGAGCGGCGAACGGGUGAGUAACACGUGAGCAAUCUGCCCCUAGCUUCGGGAUAGCUCCGGGAAACCGGGAUUAAUACCGAAUAUGACCUCGGUCGACAUCAACUGAGGUGGAAAGAUU
rnacentral:rRNA from 1 species